rnacentral:rRNA from 1 species
GAUGAACGCUGGCGGCGUGCCUAAUACAUGCAAGUCGAGCGAAUGGAUUAAGAGCUUGCUCUUAUGAAGUUAGCGGCGGACGGGUGAGUAACACGUGGGUAACCUGCCCAUAAGACUGGGAUAACUCCGGGAAACCGGGGCUAAUACCGGAUAACAUUUUGAACCGCAUGGUUCGAAAUUGAAAGGCGGCUUCGGCUGUCACUUAUGGAUGGACCCGCGUCGCAUUAGCUAGUUGGUGAGGUAACGGCUCACCAAGGCAACGAUGCGUAGCCGACCUGGGAGGGUGAUCGGCCACACGGGGACUGAGAAACGGCCCAGACUCCUACGGGAGGCAGCAGUAGGGAAUCUUCCGCAAUGGACGAAAGUCUGACGGAGCAACGCCGCGUGAGUGAUGAAGGCUUUCGGGUCGUAAAACUCUGUUGUUAGGGAAGAACAAGUGCUAGUUGAAUAAGCUGACACCUUGACGGUACCUAACCAGAAAGCCACGGCUAACUACGUGCCAGCCGCCGCAGUAA